UACAGAGGGUGCAAGCGUUAAUCGGAAUUACUGGGCGUAAAGCGAGCGUAGUCGGUUAUUUAAGUCGGGUGUGAAAGCCCCGGGCUCAACCUGGGAAUUGCAUUCGAUACUGGAUAGCUAGAGUUCGGCAGAGGGAAGCGGAAUUUCCGGUGUAGCGGUGAAAUUCGUAGAUAUUCGGAAGAACACCAGUGGCGAAGGCGGCUCACUGGCCCGGUACUGACGCUGAGGUGCGAAAGCGUGGGGAGCAAACAGG
rnacentral:rRNA from 1 species